UACGUAGGGUGCGAGCGUUGUCCGGAAUUAUUGGGCGUAAAGAGCUUGUAGGCGGUUUGUCGCGUCUGCUGUGAAAAUCCGGGGCUCAACCCCGGACUUGCAGUGGGUACGGGCAGACUGGAGUGUGGUAGGGGAGACUGGAAUUCCUGGUGUAGCGGUGGAAUGCGCAGAUAUCAGGAGGAACACCGGUGGCGAAGGCGGGUCUCUGGGCCGUUACUGACGCUGAGGAGCGAAAGCAUGGGGAGCGAACAGG
rnacentral:rRNA from 1 species